GGCUGGAUAGCUUGGUUGGUAGAGCCUGAAACUCUUAAACCCAGAGUCGUGGGUUUGAGCCCCACACUGGGUG